GAUGAACGCUGGCGGCGUGCCUAAUACAUGCAAGUCGAGCGAGCAGACGAGGAGCUUGCUCCUCUGACGUUAGCGGCGGACGGGUGAGUAACACGUGGAUAACCUACCUAUAAGACUGGGAUAACUUCGGGAAACCGGAGCUAAUACCGGAUAAUAUAUUGAACCGCAUGGUUCAAUAGUGAAAGACGGUUUUGCUGUCACUUAUAGAUGGAUCCGCGCCGCAUUAGCUAGUUGGUAAGGUAACGGCUUACCAAGGCAACGAUGCGUAGCCGACCUGAGAGGGUGAUCGGCCACACUGGAACUGAGACACGGUCCGGACUCCUACGGGAGGCAGCAGUAGGGAAUCUUCCGCAAUGGGCGAAAGCCUGACGGAGCAACGCCGCGUGAGUGAUGAAGGUCUUCGGAUCGUAAAACUCUGUUAUUAGGGAAGAACAAAUGUGUAAGUAACUAUGCACGUCUUGACGGUACCUAAUCAGAAAGCCACGGCUAACUACGUG
rnacentral:rRNA from 1 species